UACGUAGGGGGCUAGCGUUGUCCGGAAUCAUUGGGCGUAAAGCGCGUGUAGGCGGCUUUGCAAGUCGGGUGUGAAAUCCCUCAGCUCAACUGAGGAAGUGCGCCCGAAACUGCUUAGCUUGAGUGCCGGAGAGGAUGGCGGAAUUCCCCAAGUAGAGGUGAAAUUCGUAGAUAUGGGGAGGAACACCGGUGGCGAAGGCGGCCAUCUGGACGGUAACUGACGCUGAGACGCGAAAGCGUGGGUAGCAAACAGG
rnacentral:rRNA from 1 species